rnacentral:rRNA from 1 species
UACGAAGGGUGCAAACGUUGCUCGGAAUUAUUGGGCGUAAAGCGCACGUAGGCGGCUUAGCAAGUCGGAUGUGAAAUCCCUCGGCUCAACCAAGGAAGUGCAUCCGAAACUGCUGAGCUUGAGUACGAAAGGGGAUCGCGGAAUUCCCGGUGUAGAGGUGAAAUUCGUAGAUAUCGGGAGGAACACCAGUGGCGAAGGCGGCGAUCUGGGUCGAUACUGACGCUGAGGUGCGAAAGCGUGGGGAGCAAACAGG